rnacentral:rRNA from 1 species
UACGUAGGGUGCAAGCGUUGUCCGGAAUUAUUGGGCGUAAAGAGCUCGUAGGCGGUCUGUCGCGUCUGCUGUGAAAACUCAGGGCUUAACCCUGAGCUUGCAGUGGGUACGGGCAGACUAGAGUGCGGUAGGGGAGACUGGAAUUCCUGGUGUAGCGGUGAAAUGCGCAGAUAUCAGGAGGAACACCGGUGGCGAAAGGCGGGUCUCUGGGC